rnacentral:lncRNA from 1 species
GACACUGUGCCGAGCUCUCUAUAGGCUUGGAAUAACACGCAAGAAGAUACAGAGAAUUGCUCUUCAGCGAAGAAACGAUAUUGGGCUACAAUUCAUGGCCGAAAUCAGCCUUUUUGACCCAAACCUGCUCGUUUUCCUCGAUGAAACAGGCAUUG